rnacentral:rRNA from 1 species
GACGAACGCUGGCGGCGUGCUUAACACAUGCAAGUCGAACGGAAAGACCCUGCUUUUUUCUUGUUUUCUAGUGGCUAACGGGUGAGUAACACGUGAGUGACCUGCCCUUGGCUGGGGGAUAACUUCAGGUAACUAGGGCUAAUACCACAUAGUAGCGCCGCCUGCAUAGUGGGGGUUGGAAAGGUUCGGCGGUUGGUGAUGGACUCGCGGCUUAGCAGCUUGCUUGGGGGGUAGUGGCUUACGAAGGCUUUGACGGGUAGCCGGCCUGAGAGGGUGACCGGGCACAUGGGUACUGAGAGACGGACCAGAGUCGUACGGGGGGCAGCAGUGGGGAAUAUUGCACAAUGGGCGGAAGUGUGAUGAGGCGACGCCGGGUGCGGGAUGAAGGCCUUGGGGUUGUGAAGGGCUUUCGGUUGUGACGAAGCGUGAGUGACGUUACUGGGUAAAGAAGCACCGGCUAACUCCGUG